rnacentral:rRNA from 1 species
UACGGAGGGUGCAAGCGUUAAUCGGAAUUACUGGGCGUAAAGCGCACGCAGGCGGUCUGUCAAGUCGGAUGUGAAAUCCCCGGGCUCAACCUGGGAACUGCAUUCGAAACUGGCAGGCUAGAGUCUUGUAGAGGGGGGUAGAAUUCCAGGUGUAGCGGUGAAAUGCGUAGAGAUCUGGAGGAAUACCGGUGGCGAAGGCGGCCCCCUGGACAAAGACUGACGCUCAGGUGCGAAAGCGUGGGGAGCAAACAGGAUUAGAUACCCUGGUAGUCCACGCCGUAAACGAUGUCGAUUUGGAGGUUGUGCCCUUGAGGCGGGGCGUCCGGAGCUAACGCGUUAAAUCGACCGGCUGGGGAGUACGGCCGCAAGGUUAAA